CCUACGGGCGGCAGCAGUGGGGAAUAUUGCACAAUGGGGGAAACCCUGAUGCAGCGCCGCCGCGUGAGUGAAGAAGUAAUUCGUUAUGUAAAGCUCUAUCAGCAGGGAAGAAAAUGACGGUACCUGACUAAGAAGCCCCGGCUAACUACGUGACAGCAGCCGCGGUAAUACGUAGGGGGCAAGCGUUAUCCGGAUUUACUGGGUGUAAAGGGAGCGUAGACGGCUGUGCAAGCCAGAUGUGAAAGCCCGGGGCUCAACCCCGGGACUGCAGUUGGAACUGUGUGGCUGGAGUGUCGGAGAGGCAGGAGGAAUUCCUAGUGUAGCGGUGAAAUGCGUAGAUAGUAGGAGGAACACCAGUGGCGAAGGCGGCCUGCUGGACGAUGACUGACGUUGAGGCUCGAAAGCGUGGGGAGCAAACAGGAUUAGAUACCCCUGUAGUC
rnacentral:rRNA from 1 species